rnacentral:rRNA from 1 species
GACGAACGCUGGCGGCGUGCUUAACACAUGCAAGUCGAACGGAAAGGCCCUGCUUUUGUUGGGUGCUCGAGUGGCGAACGGGUGAGUAACACGUGAGUAACCUGCCCUUGACUUUGGGAUAACUUCAGGAAACUGGGGCUAAUACCGGAUAGGAGCUCCUGCUGCAUGGUGGGGGUUGGAAAGUUUCGGCGGUUGGGGAUGGACUCGCGGCUUAUCAGCUUGUUGGUGGGGUAGUGGCUUACCAAGGCUUUGACGGGUAGCCGGCCUGAGAGGGUGAGCGGCCACAUUGGGACUGAGAUACGGCCCAGACUCCUACGGGAGGCAGCAGUGGGGAAUAUUGCACAAUGGGCGGAAGCCUGAUGCAGCAACGCCGCGUGCGGGAUGACGGCCUUCGGGUUGUAAACCGCUUUCGCCUGUGACGAAGCGUGAGUGACGGUAAUGGGUAAAGAAGCACCGGCUAACUACGUG